rnacentral:rRNA from 1 species
CGGUGGUUAUUAGCGUGAGGGAAACGCCCGGUCCCAUUCCGAACCCGGAAGCUAAGCCUUACUGCGCCGAUGGUACUGCACCUGGGAGGGUGUGGGAGAGUAGGACACCGCCGACCA